UGAACGCUGGCGGCGUGCCUAAUACAUGCAAGUCGAGCGAACAGACGAGGAGCUUGCUCCUCUGACGUUAGCGGCGGACGGGUGAGUAACACGUGGAUAACCUACCUAUAAGACUGGGAUAACUUCGGGAAACCGGAGCUAAUACCGGAUAAUAUAUUGAACCGCAUGGUUCAAUAGUGAAAGACGGUUUUGCUGUCACUUAUAGAUGGAUCCGCGCCGCAUUAGCUAGUUGGUAAGGUAACGGCUUACCAAGGCAACGAUGCGUAGCCGACCUGAGAGGGUGAUCGGCCACACUGGAACUGAGACCCGGUCCAGCCUCCUACGGGAGGCAGCAGUAGGGAAUCUUCCGCAAUGGGCGAAAGCCUGACGGAGCAACGCCGCGUGAGUGAUGAAGGUCUUCGGAUCGUAAAACUCUGUUAUUAGGGAAGAACAAAUGUGUAAGUAACGAUGCACGUCUUGACGGUACCUAAGCAGAAAGCCACGGCUAACUACGU
rnacentral:rRNA from 1 species